CUGCGAGGAAGCCCCAGAAACCCUGUCCUCACUGGCUAGUCCCUGCCCCAGUCACCUUGGAGACCCCAGCGCCCUGAGGCCCCCUGGCUGCCGUUGGAAGGCGUUGGCCACUCUCCUCCUCGCUUCCUGCCGUUGAGUUGGGUUCGUUGCUCGAGGAUCACGUGUUGCUCCUGCAGGCCCAUGGGGAGGCUCAGCGGAGUUGCAGAGCCCCAAACCUGAACUGUUGCCAAGACCUUGAACCAUAUAUUCUUGUGGUGACAGUGGCCUUAGGGGAAAAUAUUCUCUCUCCGGGGUGACUAGGUCAGAGCGGCGCAAGCCUUCUUAAAUAAUGCAACUGACCUAUGUGGUGGCCUUUGGAGGGACCACGGUAGUGGUAACUAGAGAAGACUUACCGCAGUCCUCAGCGACCCAGAGGAAAAGAGGGCGUGACAUCAUUGGAUAGUCACUUCUGAUCUCAGGGACACAUGUGGACUCAGAAGAAAAUCACUUCUUCCUUUCUCCUCAAUUAGCACCCUGUCUCUGUAAGGGGCCUGGAAAGUAGAGAUGAUAUUGAAGGUAACUAAAAAGCAGUCCAGAUAUAAUUUUAAGGGCUAUUAAGAAUUUGGGAUCCAAUCUUGAGACUGAAUACCCUUCGGUAUGCAAGGUCUGGAGAGGGGUAUCAGAGUUGCUGGAGUCCUGGGUGGAGGGUGUUAUGUGAUAUUCAUUGUUAAGCAGGUAGUCACUGUAAAUGGCAUCUCCAUGGUCUGCUUAGAUGUUCUUCCUAAUCGGAAGGAUACUGGAUGUAUGAUCAGUUGUACGUCCAUGUUCUAAAAUGGAAAAGUCUUGUUUGGUGAUUUGCUUCUUUUGUCUCUUAGCUCUUCCCUCCGUGUUAUCAUCACCGAAGUGCCUAAAGUUAGCAUGAGCUGUUUGUUCCACACUGAAAACCUGCCUUCUGUGGUGCUGGGCUAGGUGGUAAAGAGUGCUGGAUUCUGGUGGGAACCUGCAGUUGAAUUCCUAAGUAUCCUAAGUUCUGUCCCUUCCUCCAACUGUGAGAUCAUCUGAUGAGGCCAAAAGCCUCUGAAACCCAAAUUAGAGCUGGCAAGAGGGAGCUUGCUGAGGUAUCAGCCCUGCCGGAGACGGGAAAAUGGGGCAGGGACUUGACGAACUGGUGGUGAGGUGGAACAAGGUUUCUUCCCCAGCUUCUGGGUGCUGGUUGGGGCCUUUGCUCUCUCUUGAAAAGAGGACCCGGUGCUGCCUCUUUGGAGCAGAGUGCUGAAAGACAAAAGGCCGGUUGUUCCCAUGUCGCACGAGGAUGCACACUGUUGAAAAGUGUCAGUUCCUCUGUUGAUGGUAACUGGAAGAACUUCUGGGGUGACUUUGAAGGAGCCAGAGAAUAGGUUAGAAAACACACGAAGAGAAAUUUCUCGUCCCUCGGGAUAAGGCAAGAGGGAAAGGGAAUUAAUUACUUCUAUUUACUGGACCUGUCGGCCUUGCCUUUUUGGAUAGGCACAGGAUCCUCUUCUUCUUAGCUUUCUACUUAGGCAGAAACUCUGUGAAAGAUAAGUUAACAUUGAGGAAAGGGCACAAACUUAGAAGAAAGAGAAGGCUGUGGCAGAAGCAAGAAAACCAGAAGCAAAACCUCCUCCCCUCUGUGUGUUUCCUUCUUUCUUCCCUCCUUUCCUUCCUAAAAACACGGGAGUGUCUACUGCAUGCCAAGUUCUAGCUAGGUACUGAGGAUAGAAGAUGAGAAAGACUCAUUCCUGGCUCCAGAAGAGCUCAUACGUAGUGGGGAGAUAAUGUCAUGGCUGACUGUAGGGCGUGGGGGUGAGAAGUGGCCUUCUGAGGACUGCCUUUUCUGUGUAUGUAAGGAGGGGGCUAAGAAAACAAGAGACCCCUAGAGUGGGUUCUGAAGUUACCUUUGUAAUUGCUACAGGGCUGAGGGUGGAGGACCAGGCAACACACAUAUACAGAGGAUUCAUACUGUCCUUGUGGCUUCUCUUUGGAUGGUAGCUGGGGUGGUGGUAAGAGGGACUGAAUGGGAGUCUGAAGUGAAUCAGGGAUGCCAUGCUUCCUGUGUCCCCCGUGCCACACUCAGAGGCACAGUGGCAGGGGUAAUGUUAUCAGCUCUCCCCUCGCUGAAGUAGCUGUGUGCUGCUGUGAGUUGUCCGGCUGCAAUUCACCUUGAGUCCUUCCUUGGUCAUCACGCUAUGUGCACAAGGGAGAGCAAGGAAGUUGAGAGAUCUGAAAAAUACAAAACGAGGAAGAACGAAGAAACACCCUUAUCCCAAAAUAACAGCGGCAAAACUGAAGAAAAACAUUUUGGUGUCCUGUUUUUAGGUCCCGGAUGUCCAGGAAGCCCAAGGACCAGAGAGCAAAUAAUGCUCUGAUUGGAGAAUCUUCGACUGACAUUUAAGGGCAGGUUAAGGGCCUCUGCUGAGGCUGGGGGAGAAACAGAACAAAAAGCUCCAAGGUUUUCACCCUUUGAUGAGAGAACCUCUGUGGGGGGAAGUGCUUUUGUGCAGGGAUUUAAAAACUUCCAUAUUCUUAACAGGUGCAAGGUACAGAGGGUUCUCAGAAUGUAGGUCUCCUGAGGGAGUCGUGUUUGUUGUAAAUCUAGGUUUGCUUUGCAAAUCAGGCAUUGAAGAGUAGCUGUAAGUUUCCAGAGUUUGGGGAUGUCACCAGAUUGGUAGGUCCUAACUGGACCUGGGAGACCUUUCCUACAUGGUUUAUUUUGAAAGUAUUCACUGCUGUUAAAGCUAAUUGGAGGAGGGACUUAAGGUUGCCUGGCCACAGCCUGAAAGAACCUGGAAUUAAGGCAGUAUCUGGAUAGAUACUCCAACCCAUAGACACAAAGCCAGGUGAAGAGCAUUGACUCUUAGUGCUGUCAUUUGGCCAGAUGUUUUGAACAGUGUUUGGGGUACUAAGGUCCAGUAAUGACGGCCAGUGCUUUAAGUUGGGUAGAUAUCUUUAGUAAACCACAGUGCCAUAUUUUUCUCAGUUGACAUGGGCCAUUGAAAGCUUUCACAAGAUUGCCACAGUCCUUGGACAGCAUUUGAUUGCCACUGAUCUAGCUCAGCUCUACAGCCUUAGCAACAAGGGCAAGUCAAUAGCUUCCCCAUCUUUGCUUGUUUGAGCAGAUGGCCAAGAAAGGAGUUCUGCAUCAUCAGGAAUAUGGCCUGAACCUUUGCGGAGGUUCUGAAAUUUCUAGCUUACGGAUUGCUUAGGGGUUCUCACCCUGCUUCCCCCAUAGGAGGUAUUUCUCUAUGGCUAUUGAGCAAAUUUCCCAGCGUCUUAAUCUUUUAUAAAGUUUGGAAGUUUGUUUUCUGGCUCUCAUAUUUCCCUUUUGGUGUGUGUAUUGCGUUUUCUCAGAUGAUUUUGGCUCUUCUUCCAACUGACUUUCAGCUGUUCUUUGGGAAAAAGGCCAAUUGACUACAUUGAAAAAACAAACAAAACUAAACAAAACCCCCAAAACCUGUGUGUUUUACCACUUCUGGCAUCUGGGUUUGUUUUGUUUUCCUUUAAAUGGUGGUUAGUUUCUGUACCCAAAGGCCUGUACUUCUAAUGGCAUACUUUAUGGUAUCCUUGCCUGGGAAUAAUGUGUGAUGGGAUACAAUCUGUAGUCUCUCAUGGUCCCCUCAUGCUUGUUUACUUUUUAAAAACCCUUGUUGAGGGGUGCCUGGGUGGCUGAGUCGGUUAAGCAUCCGACUUCAGGUCAUGAUCUCACUGUUCAUGGAUACAAGCCCCACAUCGGGCUCUGUGCCGACAGCUUGGAGCCUGGAGCCUGCUUCAGAUUCUGUGUCUCCCUCUCUCUCUGCCCCUCCCCUGCUCACACACACACUCUCUCUCUCAAAAAUAAAUAAAACAUUUACAAAAAUUAAAAAAUAAAAACCUUGUUGAAAGGGCUUGCCAUUGAAUUCCCCUUGGGUAGCCAGGAAGGACCCCAAUUUCAAAACUGAAAAUAUUAGAUGUGAAGAUGUUUUGAACAAGGAACAAAAAGCCUGUAUUCUAGUGCUGGCACUGCCAUUAUUAUCCAUGUGAACUCUGGCAAAUCUCCAGAUUUCUUUGGGUUGCGGUUUCCUCAUAGGUAAAAUUGGGAUAUUAAUACCUACCUUACAGGGUUGUUAUGAGGAUUAAAUGUGCUCUGUAAGCUGUUGUGCUAUACAAAUAUUUGCGAAAUUUUGUUAUGAUUUAAGAGCCAUUUGAACGUAUUCCAUGACCACAUAGCAGACAUGCUAAUAUUUGUGCUAUCUGAUCAAGGGUCUUCAUGGUCAUAUACUGCAUAUUUAAAUUGCUGGAACAAAAUUUUAUGUUUCUGUAUAAAUGUUUUUGUGUGGAGAGGGCCCAUAGUUUUCACUGGUUUUCUAAAGGGGGUCCAUUAUCCCAAAAAGGUAAAAGUGCUUUAGAAUUGAAAAAGUGAGAUUCAGUAAUGGAAAUAAAUGUAUUGCUUCCAUAACCCCCCCCCCCUCCAGUUAACACAUCUGCAAUAGAAGUUGCAAUGCUUUUUGGAUAGCGAAAUUGCUAAUGUGGCCUAGUACAAAACAUUUGAAAUUGGGACAGAAAAUCUUGGCCAUAUGGUCAUGGUAGCCAUUAGGCUAUCCAAUUGCCUGCCGUGUGAAGGUGGAGGUAAAACGAACUAUUAGCUAUGUGGCCCUGAGAAAGUCACCUUACCUCGUGGAGUCUGUUACCUCAUUUGUAAAGUGAAGGAUUUGACUUAAAGAUUUCCAAAGUUCCUAGUCUGAAUUCUCUAGGGAAGUGAGAUCAAAGCUGGACUUGGAUGGAGCCCUUUGCGGCAGAAAUGAAUGGGGCUUUGUGUAAGAGGAGAAAGGAGGAGUGUCAGGGAGACGAGGAGGGGCAGAGCAUGCAAGGAGCCCCAUUCUUGAUAAAGCUGGGAAGCAAGCCUGCUGAAGGGAAGAGCCAGAGUAAGGGGGGCAGAAAGAGAGCUGGCGGGCUACUCCUGAAGAUCCAAGACUCUGGUGGACCAGAGACUCAACCUCCACAUUUCACCCUGGGUCUGACUUGCCAGAACACAGGUGAUCCUCAGUGAGCAAAUCCUCUGCACUCACAGAACUUGCAGUUCUCUCAGGAGCAAAGGCCUGGAGUCUUCCCUCUUCCCACAUCAGGUGGUUUGGCUGCUUCAGGAAAAUGCUGCCCUCCAAAUGCCUCAAGACACAAGUUCUGAAAUUGUCCCCCCUCACCCCCUUCCCUCUUUUCCAUUGGGUUGGGAAGCCAUUGCUGACACAUGGAUCGGACAAAGUACAAUUUAGCCACUGUUACAGGUUCAGAUGAUAUGUUGAAGAUCUAACCUCGGGUAUCUCAGAAUAGAUGUACUCUCAAAAACCUGGACCUGGGUGACUGAGAAGACACGCAUACAAUUAUACCAGCACAAGAAACCCUGGAAACAAUCCAAACGUUCAUCAUCGGCCAGAGAAUAAAAUAAAAACAAGUCAUAUCGGAGGUGCAGUGACUUGCUCAAGGACCCAGAAAAAGUAAAUUGCAGGACUAGAGGUCAAAGUCAGCUCUUGUGAUGCCAGAUCCUGGACUUCUGCUCUAGUGCUGUCACAGCUAUAAAGAAAAAACCUUCACUACGUAUUUUCCAUUAUAACUUCAUUUCUGAUUUUAUCUGAAAUGUUACCAGAUUUUGUCAGUACUCCGCUUACUUCUUUCAUUUUAUCUGAUCAUGUAGGCUUGCUCAAACUAACUUUCAAUGAACCAGGGCAUAAACUGAAAAAAAACUUCAAUACCCACAAAAAAAGAAAUUGUGUUGAUGUUUUAUAUUCCCAUCCAGUUCUGGGCUUUGAAACCGCAUCUUUAUCCAACUGUGAUGUUAAGGGAUAUAUAAUUUUGCAUAUUGUUAAUUUCUUUGAAUGCUCCAACAGGAACAUGCUUUUGUGUUGCUCCAGUCUUUUUGAUGAUGGUUUUCCAUGACUGUAUUUUUUUCUGUAAAGGAGACAAGGCCAUUCCCACACCAUUGGACAUUCAGACUGGUUCUUCACUGGUUUUCCAAGGCUAGUGGACCAUGAGGGUCCUGUAGGAUUUCUCACUACCCCAAGCCUUCCCACUAGAGCUUUCUUUCACUGCCUUCACAUCUCGUCCAUCCCAUUCUAGGGGGAUGGGUAUUGGAUAUGUGUCAACUGGGACCUCAUUCAGGGUUCUUUACUCAGAUAAUUGCAUGCCUUUUCCACUUUUACCAAGUCAGGCUCUAGUCCCUAAAUCCCUAGGUCUUUGUUAGGUAAAUCACCUCAAAACCCAUUUUGGAACAAAGUAUGGUAUAAAUAAAGAGAGUGAAUAGACUUCCUGGGAGGAUAAGGAUUCUGCUUCCAAAUGAUCCAACACUACUGUGCAAAACGAGUGAUUUCCUGCUUAUAACAAUUGCAUGUGUUAAUCUGUUAGGUGCUGGUAUAAACAAUAAGGUGUAUAGUUUAACCCAAGGCCUGGGAACAAAGGUCUCUUUCUCUUUUACUUUAGAAAAGGUGAUGGAUUCAGAAGAAAUAGCUUUGAGGGAGGCACUGUAGGGAAGCGGUUUUAAGCACACAGGAUAAUGAGCCAGUUGGAUCUGGAUUCUUCUCCCAACCCUGCUUUUAAUGGCUGUGAGCCCCUGGGCAAGUUGUUUAUUCUCUAUGAACCAUAGUUUCUACAUCCUUAACUUCCUUAGAGGAUUGUUUAGGGAUUAAAUAAGACCCAGUAUAUAGUGAAGGUGGAGUAAACAUUAAUAUUAUCCUUGGGAUGGUUUCUCUGGAAUUACAAUUUCAAAACUUUUAAUACAAGAUAAUAACACACACAAAAUAACGACACAACUGGAGUGAUCAGAGUUUCCACUGAAGGGUUGUUUUUCACUUUUUCCCAGUGUGAUUUUCAGAAUCAGGAAGAAAAUCAGGCCUCUAACUGUGGAUACAGCCUGCAACUAUGGGCUUAAAUGAAUGAAUGAAUGACUGGAGUGUAGUCUUGGGUAAAUAAUUUAAUUUCCCUGUAUCUCACUUCCUCUUCUGUAGAAUACUGAUUCAUGGAAAACUAAUGGUUUUGGAAAAUCCUCUAGAUAGAGGCUGGGUUUGCAGCCGUGCUUAUGUUGCCCUAUGAAUAUGAAAGUGCUAGCAGCAUAAUUCCUCAAAUCCCACAUCCUGUUUGGUGGCAUUUACCCACCGAUGGAAUAUUUGUGUGUUCGUGUCACAAAAGCCCUUGGAAGAGCCAUUUUCAUUGGGAUCUAACUUGCAGUGAGCUGGCACAUUGGCAGGACAUAAUGCAGGUGUGCUUCGCUUUAGAGAAGACCACAUGCCCACUAAUUUGCAGAUUGGCCUGAAGAAUCAGAGGGAAUGAUCCAGGCAGAGAUUCCAGACACCUCUCUGCUUGCAAGUUGGGCUUUGGCAGGAAUGGUUUCUACUUCCUGGUUGCAUGAUUCAUGCUUGUCCCAUCAAAAAAGGACAUUCUAAAGGAGAACAGUGAUCAAUUAAGAAAGAAAAUAUUAUGGGGCGCCUGAAUGG